AUGUAAGUUUAAAAGAAGUGCGUUGUUUAAUUAGCUGUUAUUCGAACCGGGCAGUCAGGGUCUCCAAAACUAGCGCACCUCAAAAUCCUGCUGCUAAUUGGGGGUAAUAAGGGUUAUAAUAUGGUAUAAGGCAGUAAUAAUAAUAUAAUAUUUAUUAAUGAUAACAAUAGGUGUUAACAAUAUGUGACUUUUGUUUAAACCUUUCUAUUACUUUUGUAUUAAUUAUCUAUUCCGUUUUUCCCCCUUUAGUUCAUUAUAAUUCUUGUUUUGGUGGCUGCUAAAACUGGGUAGGAACCUCUAGCUUACAGCAGGAGAGUUGUCCAUCAAGUGUUGUUUCUUGGAAAAAAUCCAGAAAAUGUAUAUUAGUGCCUUUAUAGUUACUAGGUGAGUUUAUCUUACUAUUUUUGACUUUGUGUGUGUUUUUCUGAAGCUCUAUGUUUAUAAUAGUAAUAGUCCAUUAUUGAAAGUUGUCAUAAAUCAUGUGUUUUAUUUUACAAAGGGAUCAUUUUGCUGAUUUAAUUCUUCCUCAAAUGUUUUCAAAUUAAUACAUUUAGUUUGAUAACAAAUAUAACUGUGAUUCACGUUCAUUUUUAUUCUUUAUUUAAAAUAUAUACUAAGGACAUUACGAUACAGCUGUCCAAUCAAUCUCUGUGACCUCAAAUGUCAGAUAAAAAUGUGGUAAAAUCGGAUGGCUUCAAGCAAAACAUCCUGCAAGGCACGGAUAUGCCUGUGACAGAGGGGAGGAGGGAUGCAGAGUAAAUUUCCACUCUCUACUCUGGGCAGAUUUGUUGGAAAUUUCCAUUUGUUGUCAAACAUCAUUUCCCAGAAGGCUUUGCGUGGAUUAGGUGGGUGCUCAUUGGUUGAGCCACAGUUAAAGAAGUGAAACCAGGAAGUGGAUUGUUUAAAACAGGUUUUGGAUCAAUUUUACUAUACUGCUUUAGACCUGCAGGUGGUUUUGUUUGUAGAAGCUCCUUUAACAUCUAUCUAGUUUUAUAAUUUUAUCAUUUUUGAGGUUGUGAAUGAUUUUAAAUGAAUGUGGUGUUGAGUAUAUCUGUAAUCUGUGCAACACUGUUUAUUCAUAUGUUAAAGAGCAAGUCACUCCCUUCCAAAAUCUUACUCCAAUCCCACUUUCUGUUUGAAAAAUGCAACAAAUGCUGUUGCCUGGCAGACCGAGAGGGCGGAGCCACUAACAAAUGCACACACACACACACACACACACACACACACACACACACACAGGCUCACAAUGACAUUGUGACAUCAUAUGGUACCAACUAACGUUCUAGGGUACCUCUUAGCCAAUAGCAAUGGCAGAUUUAAAUUUGAAUGCAGUGCAGAUGUUUUACCUGACAAUGGCACAACACUGACUGUUUUAGGCAGAAAAUUAAAAUUUUAACUAAAAUUCACUAAAGUGCAAAACUAUUUACUACACGUGUCUGCUGCAUGAUUAGACACGAAUUUAUAUAGUUUAUCAGGAAAAAAAGUUGAUUUGGGGGUGAGUUGCUCUUUAAUGAGAGAAUAAUUCAUUUUAAACCUGUGGUGAAUGGUUUACUUUAUAUAUGGUGUAAUUUAUUUCAGUUGAAAAAAUUGCACUUGCAUUUUUAAAUUUACAUGAAAGGACUGUCUUCUGUGGCUGUUCACUGGCAUCACUAGGCACUGUAAUAAUAAUAAUCAAUUUAGAAAUUACUGAAAAGGUCACUUGGUUUAAUGUGAACAGAAAACCUUCUUAGUACUCAAAAAAUUCAGCAAAACAGCUAAAGUGAUUAAACUUUUAAUUUGCUGACAGGAAAAAAUACCAAGUCGGGUCUUUAGUUACUGUAUAAAAGGUUCAGAAUUUCAUAUAUUACCUUUGUUUGUUAAAUUUGUUGGUUUUAUUUUGGUGGGAAUUCAGGAAGUGGCAUGCUUUUAUUUUGAAGAGUCUUUCACAGUGAGGUCACUUCCAACACUAGAAUUUUCCCUUUCUUUCCUUUUUGGUGGUUGUGAGACCAGUGUUCCUUCAUUCACCUGCAAGUCAUGUUGAUGUUGUCAGCAUUAUGUUAAUGCAAGAAAACUGUUGUCAAUGCGGUUAACGAUGAUCAUCAACCAAGAUUAAAGACUUGGAUCUACAUCAAAGGACGUAUCUUAGCCUCUUCCUGUAUUCUAACCGAUACACCAUAUUGAUAGCCGCCUCACCUGGAAAGAGCUAGCUUUAACCAAACCCUCCUUUACAAUGGUCCUUCGAGCCGGAUAAGGGCUAUCAAUAUAGAUCCAGAUAAAGAGAUGCAUCCUACUGUGAGACCUAAACGGCAGAUCAGCCGACCCAGCAGAUUUGAGGGGCAGUUUGAAGUAAGUUACACUGGAGCUCCUCCCGGAAACAGACCUCAGUGGAAUCUCCUGCCAUCUCUAAGCAGAAGAAUAGAUCCUGAACUUCAGCACAGCCAAAGCCAACCUGCUUCAUUCACUCCUCCCUCUAUAAGAGAGAUCCCCCACGGUACUCCCUUCCUUUCGAGACCAAGCCAUCUGUGGUGUAACAUAAGUAGAGAUCCCUGCCUUGAACCUAUAACUCCCUAUUUUCAGGAAUCCCCAUCAGCCUUGUCUCUGCAUGCAGAACUUAGAGCAACCCAUGAAGAGAGAAGACAGCUGCUUCAAGCACAGAGGGAGUUGAAAGAUGGUUUGAAGGAGCUGAAUGAAGCGAGAACUGAAAUUAAAGCCCUAAUCGAAGCCACACACGCCCUGCAAAUGGACAUGAAUCAGCUGCAUCGCAACAUUCCCCAUCAUACCCCAUCACAAGGUAGCAUGGACAGACCUAGGAGCCAUUUUCCUACCACCGAUCUGAAAGAAUAAGAGGAAGAGUGGUCCGAUCCUCCACCAUGGCAAGAACCCGAGGACCAAAACAGUAGCUUAUAUGACCUCAAAGCCAUGGAUCAAGAUUUUCAACCAAUCUAGCGAUCUUCCCUUUUCAAAGGUGCAUCCCUUUCACACUACAAGCCUGCCCAGCUUACCCAGAAUACAGCCCAGUUUGAGGCUACUGCUAAGGAGAGCGAGGUAAUGCAUCCUACAUUUGCACCUUACCCGCCAUCCUUUUACCACCCGGCUCCAACCAAUGUAGACUUCUUUUCUGGAAAGCCCUCAGCUACCAAACAUUCAUUUACAGCUACAGGUGCCGGUCAAACACAGCAACCCCCCUGCAGAGAUGAUAUUUCCCCUACAGUUGAGGUAGUGUAUAGAGGACCUAAACCUACCAUACCAAAGUUUAUUCAUUCAGACCCCUGCGAGUUUGCAAGACUUCGUAUUGCACUCGAAAACUUGCUGACCUCUAACGCUACAGAGCUGUUCGAAUUUCAAAUUCUUGUGGACCAUUUGAAACUAGAUGAAGCUAAGCUUAUUGCUGACGCUUAUUUUAACUCACCCAACCCUUGCCUUACCAUGACUGCUCUUCAUGAUAAAUUUGGACAACCACAUCAGCUUGCUCUAAAAAAGAUAGCAAGUGUUCUUGAUGGUCCUGAAAUAAGGUGAGGUGAUCCAAUAGCCUUCCAGAAGUUCUCCCUCCAGGUGCAGUCCCUAGUAGGCCUGUUGCAAACCUUAGGCCUGGAAGGACAAGUAGAACUUAACUGUGGGUCACAUGUAGCUCGACUCUUAGGCAAGCUACCUCCAGAGCAAUGGGCUGACUUUCGACGGCACUAGUUCAAACAGCCUGGGAAAUCCUACACCCUACAUGACCUCUCUGACUGGCUCCAUUAUGAAUCAUAGUGUCAGGGCUUUGACAGCCAGACCACAGAAAAGGGUGGUAGAGAAAGAAACAGCUCAAAAUAUGAAUGACGAACUGGUAAACAGACGGUUACAGCCCUCCAUAACAUUAAAGGAUCUUCAAGAAUUGGUUCGCUGACAUCUAAGGAAAGUGCAACAAAGGGAGCAAGCAAAGGCAAAGCUUUCUGCGCUCAUUGUGAGAGCACUGAGCACUAUUUCAGUCAAUGCAGUGAUGUUGCAGAGCUCUCUAAGGAACAAUUAAAGGACUGGAUUCAGGAAAACAAAAGAUGUUUGCAAUGUGCACGACUCACUUAGCUGCACAAUGCACGCUAAAGAAACCUUUUAGCCUCUGUCAAGGAAAACACCUACUGGCACUCCACGAGGUUAACACAAGAACCCAGAAAGCCAGUCAAGAUGUAGCUGUGAGUGAGGAGAGCUGCCUAACCAGUUCAGCGACGGAUUUCUUCUACAUUGACAGACCAGGCGUUGGGAACUGUGUCAUGCUGAAGGUGGUACCUGUAUCCCUUAGCUCUGGAACACGAUCCCUAAAUACAUUUGCAAUACUUGAUGACGGAUCAGAGAGGACAAUGCUACUUCCUGGUGCAGCCAAAGCUCUUGGUCUGAGAGGCACACUAGAGAACCUUCCUCUACGUACAGUACGUCAGGAUAUUCAGUUAUUGCAAGGUCAUACUGUGUCCUUCAGACUCUCUUCAGCUACUGAACCUAGUUGCAGCUUCCAGAUUGAUGGGGCGUUUACCUCUAAUCGACUGAACUUAGCUCACCACACAUACCCUGUUGAACAACUUCAAAGGAAGUUUGGACACCUGCAUGGGAUUCCAGUACCUGCUCUAAAGGAUGCUAAGCCACUGCUCCUCAUUGGUUCAGACCAGCCUCAUCUGAUAACCCCUACUGAACCAGUCAGGCUUGGCCCACCUGGCAGUCCAGCAGCAGUUCACACCAAACCUGGGUGGACACUCCCAAGGACCUAGUACUUCCAUGGGGCAGCUCUCUAAUUCCGCCCUUUGUCUGUACACCUCUUCCAGAGCUGAAUAAUUAUUUACACACAUGGAGAGACUUUGGCAAGUGGACAUUGUACAAUACAGAUCUGAGAAAUCUGUAACACGAUCAAAGCAAGACCAUCAGGCUGUAGCACUGCUCAAGACUAAGACAGUUUGUACCAUGGUGGAUGGAGUUCUCAGGUACGUUACACCCCUCCUCCUUCAUGACCACAUGCCACUCAUGCAGGCACCAAAGGAAUCCAUCAUGCCUUUGCUUCGAAGUACCGAGAGACGGCUCCUGAAAGAGAACAGUUGAGCAGAGGCCUAUAGGACUGAAAUGCAGAAACUAAUUGACGCUGGUGCUAGGAGGUUUCUGAAGACAAACUGUUGGGUAUUUUUAUAAUUGUACCUUUUUGAGGCCUAAAAGCUGCCCAAUUUGUGUUAUUAACACUUCUUGAAUUUCUGUGUUUGCCAACUGGUUCAUGAAAAGUUGAGCAGAGAAGCUCAUUUGCAGUCAAGGAUGUUGAUUGUGGAUUUCCAGGAUGUUGAUUGUGGAUUUCCAAAGAAACCUUUGUACCUCUGUAACCUGAGAAGGCCCCGCCUUCUCCAUCCUUUGCUGAAUAAAGCCCCUGACGAUCUGAGAACACAUGGGAGUGAUGUGGGGAAGCCUCGGAGGAGGGUCCUCUGCGUUAACUCUCCAUAUUUUGGGGACUCAGGGUAAAAUGUC